GCCGAGACUAGAGUCACAUCCUGACAGGGUACUUGUCCUGGUGUGCUAGAGUCCUCGAAGAAUAACUGCUGACCUUAUUCACUGGCUGUGGACUUUCUGGCACAGUCAGUCACCAGGUUAGAGACAUAU